ensembl:lncRNA
AUUCCUGUCGGACGGUUUGUGCUUCCCGCCGGGAAGUUUCUGAGUGCGGUCACUUGAUUUAGUCCCAAUGGUUAGCAUCGAACGUUGUAGUCUUGACAACCAAAACCAGAAACCACCUGGCAGUUAGUUGGACGGGAGUCCCCUGAGGGAAUCUGGCGGAACGUUCUGGAUUGUAUUUGCGUAACCACGAGCCGUUGCCAACGAAAAAAAAUUUUUCAGUCGGUUUCCAUUGGGAAUUGUGCCACCUUAUCUUAAACAACUUAAGUUUGAUAUUAAAUACAUACUGACACGUACGUUGUACAAUGUGUUAAUUUUCGAUGGUUGCGCCGUACUUUCAACCACGUUGACGGGACUCUCGCUGCGUACGAAACGGCCUUCUACUUGCGGGUCCAUUUUUGACAUCAGUGAAGGCUGAAAAUCUUUUCAAGGCGGAAGACAAUUUGACAUUUCUUGAACGGAACCCAGCACCUGAAUAUGGCUGAGUAUAUUUGAUUUAAUAUCGAUACUGCUUAGUGUUCUUUGUUACUUCAGCUUUUGUACGUUCUAAAUAUCUGCUGUCAUUAAUUGCAACAGAAGUUAAACCCUACCCAAUGGAAUGACGCUAAACAACGACUUUGGGGCAGAGUUACCAACUGGAUAAUCUCAAAGCUAAAAUAAUGGCCGUGCUUUCCACAUGUUACAGUAGAAGAUACUCUAGAAUUGUACAAGGUUAAAAAAGGUAACAUGUAGUUUGUCCCAAGGUGUCUGCCUCCUCACCCAGAGCAGGACCUCCACCUCCUCACCCGGAGCAGGACCUCCACCUCCUCACCCGGAGCCGGGAGCCGGAGCCAGACCUCCACCUCCUGUCAGAAGUCCUCCAGAAUGCAGCACUGGACCAGAGGGUAACCAUCAUCAAGCUCAUCUGAAACACUAAAAUCCACAGUAGUUUAGGUCUGGUUUUGAUCAUCUUAUGACUUUAAGUCUGUCAAGCUGUGAUUAGAGUUAAUUCAUACAGGGGUUAUGUAGGAGUCAUAUGAGCCAUUAUUGUUACUAGUGCUGCUACGACCGUAGUGGAUGAAUUGCUGAACGCGUCAAUCUGCAGACAUUGUUUAAAUAUGUUUAAAUUUGUUUUACAAGUAUUUUACAAGUGAACCUCAGAUGCAGGAGGUGGUGUGUGUGUGUGUGAUUUACUGCUGAGACCAACUGUUUGUAACCAGACCAAGAAUCCAUAUCUGGAAGAGCCGUGCUGAAGGCCCUGCCUGGUGGAGGAGCUGAUGGAGGCCCUGCCAGGUGAAGGACGUCUGUCGUGGGGUAGAUGGAGCUUGACUUUGAAACCAGGACUCUGUCUGAGCAGAGCUGCUGGAGGAGCUGAGACGCUGGAGGACGACUAGGAAUCGACCAACAAGGAUUCCUAAACGUGUGUCUGAAGCGGAGGCGAGCUGGUAGGGGAGCCGUGAAUCUGGAGGAUGACCAUCACUCUACCAACAAGGAUUGCCUUAGGGCCAGACUGGUGCUGUUUGUUCCAGACCAGGACUCUGGCUGAGGAGAGCUGAUGGAGGAGCCAAGACUCUGGAGGACGACAUCACUCUACCAACCAGGAUCCUCGCAGACACACCUGAGCUGAACCUCAACUGUUUGGUCGGGGGCAGACAAACCUGAGCUGAACCUGACAUCCUGCUGGUCCCGUCUCCUCAGUUCAUCUUCGCCUCGUCCUCCAGAAGACCUGCUGAGCUCAGCAGUCUGAGGCUGAUGGAUCAAUGACCUCCAGUGGGAGUGAUCUUCUUGACCACACAUGUAACCGUGUGCUUCCACACGCCUUUCCUUCACGUCUGUCACUAACCUCACUACUUCACUACUCUCUACUGCUUCCUCUUCUUCUUCCUUCUCUGUGGUUCGAACCUUUACACUGAAGGCGCGUCUUCCUGCCCUCAGAGGGUUCAGCGUUAGGGUUGAGAGUCAGGGUUUAGAGUCAGGGACAGAGCUGGUCAGGGGAGGACUGCUUUUACACAAACCUCUGCACUUGCUUUCGGAAUGGUGAUGACAUUUUGAAAAGAUUCUUUUGGGAAAAUGUUUCCUAUUCCAUUUACAAUUGUAUUCAACUUCUGUCAAGUGCUUUCGUUUGCAUAUUAAAAUCCCAC